rnacentral:misc_RNA from 1 species
CUAUAACAUCCCAAUUUCCAAACUCCAAUACUUGUAUAUUUUCAAAGUUUUACAAUUCAAAGCCGCAAAUGUUAUGUUGAGCAAGACAAACAGUAUGAAAAGCAAGAACUUUUUCUCAAGAUUUUAAGUUGAUCAAUGUUUUUCAAAUGAGACUAUACACUUAUAUUAUCACAAGCAUGAGGUCAAGAUCAAUGUAAUGACCUAUAACACUGUGAUUCUCGCGUGACCUUAAAUAUGAUACAUUUAGUAUAUCGUAUGUGCGGACAAAUCGUUAUAUUAAAAGGAAGCAGUGUCUAGAGAGGGAAGUGUAAUAUAAAAACAUUUAUGUUAUUAGUUGUAAUAGAGUAACGGUUCAUACAUAAAGUAUAAAAUUAUUUUUAAUGGAUACGUUUAAUAACUACACUGGUGUGCUAUAUUACUGUGAUACAAAUAUAAGAGCUACAUGUGUUUUUGUAAACAUACAAAAAAGGCCUUUGGUGACAAGGCUAUGUCGCGAAAAAAUGUUUACAAGCGGUACAAACAUUUCAAAAAAGGCCGAGUUCGAAUUUAAGACAAUUAGCGUUCCGGAUAAACCAUCGACAUGUACUGAUGAACUCCGCGUGAAGGAAAACAAAGAUUUGGUGCUUGCAAAUCAUCGAUUGACAAUUGAAGAUCAUGUCGAUACUGCGAACAUCUCAUUUGGAUCAACCGAAACCAUUCUAAAAGAUGUGCCUCAAACUCUUCAAUUUCACAUGGGACGAUACUGCGCUGCCCACACUGCAUUAGUUCUUCGAGAGCAUUUCACUAAAAAAUGGACUCAUAUUGUUCCACAACCACCGUAUUCAUCUGAUUCAGAACCAUGCGACUUCUGGCUGUUUAACAAACUCAAAAGACCGUGUUUAGGACACGGUUUCGAAUCGACUGAUGAGAUAAAAGUCAAAUCGACGAAAGUAUUAGAGGCAAUCACUGAAAAGGACUUGUUUGACUGUUUCGAGAAUUGGAAAAAACGUUGGCAUAAGUCAAUCAUUUUUUUGGACGGUGAAUACUUUGAAAGUGAUGAGAUUGAUUUAGGGGAAUAAAUUAAGAUUUUUCAUUUCAUAAACAAAUUUAUCUUACUUUCUGAUCAAAGUAGUAGGUAUAACACUAACGAAUAUUAAACUCUAUUAUAGUUAAAUAUUCAGAAAGAUUAGCAAAAUUGUAUAUAGCGUCUACUGUUUAAAGUUUACUGAAACAUCUACGAUACAACUUUAUCAAAUUGCUAAAUCAAAAAAUAAUGCGUUAAGCAGAUGAUAAAAGUACUUCUAACAUUUUGAUAGCAAUUAUUAAAAAUCAGUAAUUGUAGCUAUUUUAUUAUCGGUAUACAUUAUCAGACAGCUAUAAAUUCGUCGUGUUCAAAAUGAUAUCAAGAUUAUACUGUUGCAGAUCAUUGAAUUAUUUUUACCUACUUUACAUACUACUAUUUUCGCUAAUUUAAAAUAUCGAAACGUACGACCUUGAGAACAAGCUUUUAUUUACCGUAAUGUUUGUGUCACUCAUAUUAUAAUUUAUAUUUUUGACAUUUCUGUAUAUCAUUGCCAAUAACGGACAUGCUGCCUUGUUUGAUAAAGAUAUGCAUAUAUUUUUAAAUGAAUUAUACAAAAUAGGUGCACCAGUCGGUCGAUCUUACCUUGAUCAGAUAACAGCAACAAACCGGACUGCAAAAUAAUCUGAAUUAUUCUAGUCAGAUAGAUGUAUCGUAUUAAAGGCUUUAUUUCUAGAUGCGGGUCCCAUAAUAGGUACCAAUGACGACUACGAAG